AUUAUAUUUCUUUUCCAAUUAAUUUCUCACUCAAUUUUAUUUCAUUUUGGUCCAAAUUGUUUACACAAGGUCUCUUAAAACAUUUACAUCACAUACAUUUUUCUCCCAUUUUUUAAAAUCAUUUUUGUGUUUUUGGUUAUUUUUAUUUCAUUUUAUUUUUAAUUCCCUUUUGCAAUUUUUUUUAUCAUUUUCAAACAUUCUUGUAUCC
rnacentral:lncRNA from 1 species